rnacentral:rRNA from 1 species
GAUGAACGCUGGCGGCGUGCCUAAUACAUGCAAGUCGAGCGAACAGAUGAGGAGCUUGCUCCUCUGACGUUAGCGGCGGACGGGUGAGUAACACGUGGAUAACCUACCUAUAAGACUGGGAUAACUUCGGGAAACCGGAGCUAAUACCGGAUAAUAUAUUGAACCGCAUGGUUCAAUAGUGAAAGGCGGUUUUGCUGUCACUUAUAGAUGGAUCCGCGCCGCAUUAGCUAGUUGGUAAGGUAACGGCUUACCAAGGCAACGAUGCGUAGCCGACCUGAGAGGAUGAUCGGCCACACUGGAACUGAGACACGGUCCAGACUCCUACGGGAGGCAGCAGUAGGGAAUCUUCCGCAAUGGGCGAAAGCCUGACGGAGCAACGCCGCGUGAGUGAUGAAGGUCUUCGGAUCGUAAAACUCUGUUAUUAGGGAAGAACAAAUGUGUAAGUAACUAUGCACGUCUUGACGGUACCUAAUCAGAAAGCCACGGCUAACUACGUG